rnacentral:rRNA from 1 species
UACGGAAGGCAGCAGUGGGGAAUAUUGCACAAUGGGCGCAAGCCUGAUGCAGCCAUGCCGCGUGUAUGAAGAAGGCCUUCGGGUUGUAAAGUACUUUCAGUCGUGAAGGAAGGUGUUAAGGUUAAUAACCUUAGCAAUUGACGUUAGCGACAGAAGAAGCACCGGCUAACUCCGUGCCAGCAGCCGCGGUAAUACGGAGGGUGCGAGCGUUAAUCGGAAUUACUGGGCGUAAAGGGCACGCAGGCGGUUAAUUAAGUUGGAUGUGAAAUCCCCGGGCUUAACCUGGGAAUGGCAUUCAAGACUGGUUAGCUAGAGUCUUGUAGAGGGGGUAGAAUUCCAUGUGUAGCGGUGAAAUGCGUAGAGAUGUGGAGGAAUACCGGUGGCGAAGGCGGCCCCUGGACAAAGACUGACGCUCAUGUGCGAAAAGCGUGGGGAGC